UUAAGCCAUGCGAGUCGAACGAGUUUAGGCUCGUGGCGUACGGCUCAGUAACACGUGGAUAACCUACCCUUAGGAUCGGGAUAACCUUGGGAAACUGAGGAUAAUACCGGAUAGGCAAUUAUUCCUGCAAUGGUUUUUUGUUUAAAUGUUUUUUCGCCUAAGGAUGGGUCUGCGGCCGAUUAGGUAGUUGGUUAGGUAAUGGCCUACCAAGCCGUUGAUCGGUACGGGUUGUGAGAGCAAGAGCCCGGAGAUGGAACCUGAGACAAGGUUCCAGGCCCUACGGGGUGCAGCAGGCGCGAAACCUCCGCAAUGUGAGAAAUCGCGACGGGGGGAUUCCAAGUGCCAUUCUUAACGGGAUGGCUUUUCAUUAGUGUAAAGAGCUUUUGGAAUAAGGGCUGGGCAAGACCGGUGCCAGCCGCCGCGGUAA
rnacentral:rRNA from 1 species